rnacentral:rRNA from 1 species
UACGUAGGGUGCAAGCGUUGUCCGGAAUUAUUGGGCGUAAAGAGCGUGUAGGCGGCUAGGUAGGUGGGUUGUGAAAAUUGGAGGCUCAACCUUCAGACGUCGACCCAAACCCCCUGGCUAGAGUCCGGAAGAGGAGAGUGGAAUUCCUGGUGUAGCGGUGAAAUGCGCAGAUAUCAGGAAGAACACCCGUGGCGAAGGCGGCUCACUGGACCACAACUGACGCUGAGGCGCGAAAGCUGGGGGAGCAAACAGG